GGGGAAUUAGCUCAGUGGUAGAGCGUUUGCUUAGCAUGUAAGAGGUCAUGGGUUCGAUACCCAUAUUCUCCA
rnacentral:tRNA from 2 species